UGGGGAAUAUUGGACAAUGGGCGAAAGCCUGAUCCAGCCAUGCCGCGUGUGUGAAGAAGGUCUUCGGAUUGUAAAGCACUUUAAGUUGGGAGGAAGGGCAUUAACCUAAUACGUUAGUGUUUUGACGUUACCGACAGAAUAAGCACCGGCUAACUCUGUGCCAGCAGCCGCGGUAAUACAGAGGGUGCAAGCGUUAAUCGGAAUUACUGGGCGUAAAGCGCGCGUAGGUGGUUUGUGAAGUUGGAUGUGAAAUCCGCGGGGUCAACCUGGGAACUGCAUUCAAAACUGACUGACUAGAGUAUGGUAGAGGGUGGUGGAAUUUCCUGUGUAGCGGUGAAAUGCGUAGAUAUAGGAAGGAAGACCAGUGGCGAAGGCGACCUCCUGGACUAAUACUGACACUGAGGUGCGAAAGCGUGGGGAGCAAACA
rnacentral:rRNA from 1 species